UACGAAGGGGGCUAGCGUUGCUCGGAAUUACUGGGCGUAAAGGGAGCGUAGGCGGACAUUUAAGUCAGAGGUGAAAUCCCGGAGCUUAACUUCGGAACUGCCUUUGAUACUGGGUGUCUUGAGUGUGAGAGAGGUAUGUGGAACUCCGAGUGUAGAGGUGAAAUUCGUAGAUAUUCGGAAGAACACCAGUGGCGAAGGCGACAUACUGGAUCAUUACUGACGCUGAGGCUCGAAAGCGUGGGGAGCAAACAGG
rnacentral:rRNA from 1 species